GGCCCCACCCAGGGCGGCUCGGCUCCCCUCAGCGGCCUCUGGCGCCUCCCGCCCGCCCGACCCGUUCGCUCGCUCGCUCGCUCGCUCGCUUGCUCGUCCGGGAUCGCCGCGGUGGUUCAAGUUUGCGAUGGCGCCGCCACUUCCCACCUGGGCCUCACGCGUGCACCUUGCCUGCCUGCGCCUCUUCGCCUCAAGUCGGCUUUUACCUCAGGGGCUCUGGAGAGCCCAACCUGGCCGACGCCGGCCUUCCUGAGGAGAACUCCUCCACCUGCCUUGCCCUUGCUCUGUGACAGCUCUUCCUCAGGUUACCCCUGUGGUCUCUCCUCAGGAAGUUUGCGCUCUCUCCCAAUCUCCCUUCUCAAGUGCAAUGGAAUGCCCAAGCCAGCCCUCGGGGCCUGUUGCCCUCCUGGAAAGAUCUGGCGAUUGAGGACCCGCCCUAUCUGCUCUCUGGACCCACCAGGUCCUCUGUACCUCGCUUUAGUCUUUGGUAAAAUUCAUCUCUUGGGGCAGCAAGAGAGAGGACAGAAGGGAGAGUGGUUGGUUCUCCACAAACUUCUGUGUUAAGAGUCAGAUUGGGCCUGGGCUCUUGUGACUUGGGCGAUUGACUGAACCUUUUCUAAGCCCAGUUUUUAAUCAUCUCUAAAAUGACAGGGCCAGGACCGAAAGAGACUGUAGCUCAGUUGUAAAGUCACGCUUGCCAGACAACCCCGAAGCCCUAGAGAGAGGGAGGAAGGAGGGUGACCAGGGAGGCCAGAACUGGGUGUCAGAAGACAUGAAGCAGGAGUUGCAGGAGAUGGUGAGCACCAGAGGGUGCUGGGGACCAAAUUCUCUGGUCCUCUAGAAGAGCAGCAAACGCUCUUAGCUGCUGAACCUUCUCUCUAGUUCCUACCCCACCCUCACCCCCAUUUUUAAAGCAGGAUUUUCUACUUUUGGGCUCAAGAAGUUCUUCUGCCUCAGCCUUCUGAGUGGACACACCACACCACACUUCACUGUGCAGUCUAUGAAGCUCAGCAGCAAAAUGCUUACCUAGCAUGUUUCAGCAGUAGGGCUACUAAAGAAGAGGAGGAGGGAGGAGGAAGAGGAGCAGCUAGAAGCAUCUUUGUCCAAACAGUAUGAAUAUGAGUUAUUGUUGGGAUGAGAUAAUUUUCACAUCAGAUAUGCAUAUACAUAUACAAAUAGACAUACAUGUAAGGGAUUUUGCUAUAGUACAAAAGUUUUUCAAGUUCUGUUUUUGUUUUUGUGGUCUUUUUAAAGCUGAAAAAUAGCGCAACUCUGUUUUCAAGAGUAUAUAUCUGUUUUCCCUUGUUGGAGUAGGUGUGGCCUUGUUGUAGGAAGUGUGUCACUGUGGGGGCAGGCAAUGACACCCUCUGUCCUAACCAUGUGGGAACCAGUUUUCUCCUAGUAGCCUUCAGAUGAAGAUGUAGAACUCUCAGCUCUUCCUGCACCAUGCCUGCCUGGAUGCUACCAUGCUCCCACCAUGAUGAUAAUGGACUGAACCUCUGAACUUGAUCACCCUCACUGCUCCCACAGAGGCUGUUCGAGUGCUGCCGGUGGGCCUGACACACAUAAAGAAAUCUCUCAAAAUAUUAAAUGCAUAUACUGGAAUGGACCCAAGGCUACCUCCCAUUUGUCAUGCGUAAACCCAGAAAGGGACAAUUUGGUCGUUUGAAUAUGCUUGGCCUAUGGGAAGUGGCACUGUUAGGAGUGUUGGUCCUAUGCUCAAGCUCUCUCCAGUGCAGAAGAGACUCUCCUCCUGGUCGCCUGGGAAAGAGAGACUCCUGGCUGCUUUAGGAUCCAGAUGUAGAACUCUCAGCUUCUCCUCCUGCUUCAUGUCUGCCUGCCUGCAUGCGGCCAUGGUUCUUACCAAGUCAAAAAUGGACUGAACCUCUGAAACUGUAAGCCGGCCCCAAUUAAAUGUUUGCUUUUAUAA
rnacentral:lncRNA from 1 species